AUACGUAGGGGGCGAGCGUUGUCCGGAGUUAUUGGGCGUAAAGGGCGUGUAGGCGGCCUGUUAAGUCAGGUGUGAAGUUUCAGGGCUUAACCCUGAAACUGCGUUUGAAACUGGCAGGCUUGAGGACAGGAGAGGGAAGUGGAAUUCCCGGUGUAGCGGUGGAAUGCGUAGAUAUCGGGAGGAACACCAGUGGCGAAGGCGGCUUCCUGGACUGUACCUGACGCUGAGGCGCGAAAGCUAGGGGAGCAAACAGGAUUAGAUACCCUGGUAGUCCUAGCCGUAAACGAUGAGUGCUAGGUGUGGGAGGUUAAAAUCCUUCCGUGCCGGAGUUAACGCAAUAAGCACUCCGCCUGGGGAGUACGGCCGCAAGGCUAAA
rnacentral:rRNA from 1 species